AGAUUCCUACGGGAGGCAGCAGUGGGGAAUAUUGCACAAUGGGCGCAAGCCUGAUGCAGCCGUGCCGCGUGUAUGAAGAAGGCCUUCGGGUUGUAAAGUACUUUCAGCGGGGAGGAAGGGAGUAAAGUUAAUACCUUUGCUCAUUGACGUUACCUGCAGAAGAAGCACCGGCUAACUCCGUGCCAGCAGCCGCGGUAAUACGGAGGGUGCAAGCGUUAAUCGGAAUUACUGGGCGUAAAGCGCACGCAGGCGGUUUGUUAAGUCAGAUGUGAAAUCCCCGGCUCAACCUGGGAACCGCAUCUGAUACUGGCAAGCUUGAGUCUCGUAGAGGGGGGUAGAAUUCCAGGUGUAGCGGUGAAAUGCGUAGAGAUCUGGAGGAAUACCGGUGGCGAAGGCGGCCCCCUGGACGAAGACUGACGCUCAGGUUGCGAAAGCGUGGGGAGCGAACAGGAUUAGAUACCCUGGUAGUCC
rnacentral:rRNA from 1 species